rnacentral:rRNA from 1 species
GAUAAACGCUGGCGGCGUGCUUCAGGCAUGCAAGUCGAACGAGCACUUCGGUGCUAGUGGCGGACGGGUGAGUAACACGUGAGCAACCUGCCCGGAAGUGGGGCAUAACUUGCCGAAAGGCGAGCUAAUACCGCAUGUGAUGGUUCUUCUUUGGAGGGCCCAUUAAAGGCGAAAGUCGCUUCCGGAGGGGCUUGCGGUCGAUUAGCUAGUUGGUGGGGUAACGGCCUACCAAGGCGACGAUCGAUAGCUGGUCUGAGAGGACGGUCAGCCACACGGGGACUGAGAUACGGCCCCGACUCCUACGGGAGGCAGCAGCUAGGAAUCUUGGGAAUGGGCGAAAGCCUGACCCAGCAACGCCGCGUGGGCGAUGAAGGCCUUCGGGUCGUAAAGCCCUUUUGCAGGGGAAGAUGAUGACGGUACCCUGCGAAUAAGCCACAGCUAACUACGUGCCAGCCGCCGCUGUAA